rnacentral:pre_miRNA from 1 species
AAGCUUUGUCCUAAGUCAAACUGCUCUAACUUUGACCAAGUUUUUAGAAAAAUAUAUAAACAUCUAUAGCACCAAAUAAAUACACAAUCCAAGACAUAUUUCAUCGUAAAUUCAAUGAAACUAAUUGGAUGUUGUUAGUGUUGGUACUUUUUUCUAUAAAGUUGGUUAAGUCACAAAAGUUUGACUAAGGACGAAACUAA